AGUCGAGCGGACAGAUGGGAGCUUGCUCCCUGAUGUUAGCGGCGGACGGGUGAGUAACACGUGGGUAACCUGCCUGUAAGACUGGGAUAACUCCGGGAAACCGGGGCUAAUACCGGAUGGUUGUUUGAACCGCAUGGUUCAGACAUAAAAGGUGGCUUCGGCUACCACUUACAGAUGGACCCGCGGCGCAUUAGCUAGUUGGUGAGGUAACGGCUCACCAAGGCAACGAUGCGUAGCCGACCUGAGAGGGUGAUCGGCCACACUGGGACUGAGACACGGCCCAGACUCCUACGGGAGGCAGCAGUAGGGAAUCUUCCGCAAUGGACGAAAGUCUGACGGAGCAACGCCGCGUGAGUGAUGAAGGUUUUCGGAUCGUAAAGCUCUGUUGUUAGGGAAGAACAAGUGCCGUUCAAAUAGGGCGGCACCUUGACGGUACCUAACCAGAAAGCCACGGCUAACUACGUGCCAGCAGCCGCGGUAAUACGUAGGUGGCAAGCGUUGUCCGGAAUUAUUGGGCGUAAAGGGCUCGCAGGCGGUUUCUUAAGUCUGAUGUGAAAGCCCCC
rnacentral:rRNA from 2 species